GGCGACGUGGCCAAGUGGUAAGGCAGUCCUCUGCAAAAGGACGAUCAUGGGUUCGAUUCCCAUCGUCGCCUCCA
rnacentral:tRNA from 1 species